rnacentral:rRNA from 1 species
GAUGAACGCUGGCGGCGUGCCUAACACAUGCAAGUCGAACGGAGAUUACGGACGGAAGUUUUCGGAUGGAAGACUGUAAUUCUUAGUGGCGGACGGGUGAGUAACGCGUGGGCAACCUGCCCUAUACAGGGGGAUAGCAGCUGGAAACGGCUGGUAAGACCGCAUAAGUCGGUUAAAUCGCAUGAUUUGAUCGGGAAAUGAGCAAUCAGGUAUAGGAUGGGCCCGCAUCCGAUUAGCCAGUUGGCAGGGUAAAAGCCUACCAAAGCGACGAUCGGUAGCCGGACUGAGAGGUCGGACGGCCACAUUGGGACUGAGACACGGCCCAAACUCCUACGGGAGGCAGCAGUGGGGGAUAUUGCACAAUGGAGGAAACUCUGAUGCAGCGACGCCGCGUGAGUGAAGAAGUAUUUCGGUAUGUAAAGCUCUAUCAGCAGGGAAGAUGAUGACGGUACCUGAAUAAGAAGCCCCGGCUAACUACGUG